AAUAAAACAGAAAUAUUUAAACUCAUAAUAACUUUUGUUAUUAUCCAUUUCAAAUAUAUUUUGUUUCAUAAGAAGAUAUAAUUGUCCGUAUUACUAAUAAUGAAUAAUAUUAUUUAACUGUAUUAGGUGGAAAUGGACAAUGCAUAAAUAUUCGACAAUUAUAAUGGAAAUUAUAAUGGUCUAAUCUCGUGGUUUAUGUUCUAAAAACUAUAAAUACUGUGAUGGAAUAUUUAAAGAACUUGGUGAAAAAAGAAAAUUCAUGAAUCGAAGCACAUGUAAACUUAUUACGGACAGAAUAGUUUAAUUUUUUUCUAUAGAAGAUAAAGUUGAGAUAAAGGUAAUAUCGUGUGGAUUUGUUCAAUUGCCAUUAAUAAAUUUGUAAUAAUUUGUAAUGAAAUGACAAUACUCGUUUCAUUAAAAGAAUCCAACUGCAUUGUGUUUUCUUGUCAAAAUGGUGAAGGAAGUUUUGACUCUAAUCUUCUUAAAUGUGCAACCAUAAGAUGUUAUGCAGAUGCAUUAACUUUAAAGCUAUUCUAUUCUAUCAUCUUUAAAUAUAAUGAAAGAGAGCAAGAAAUUUAGUUACCAGAUUUAGGAACUUUUGGUCCUUUGGUACAACAUGUAUCUAAAAAUAUAAUGACAGUAAAAUACUAAGCUUGGAUUAAACAUCCAUCAGGUUAAAAUAUUCAUUUUUCUCUUUUCAUUAGAAAAUUAAAACAGACAGAAUUUAACAUCAUCAAUAUUGUCUUUCUUCUAUGAUUAUAGUAAACAAAAAUUUAAAGUUGUGAAUAUUAGUUUAGAUGGAAAUGAAUUAAGCGUAUCAAAAGAACAUUAACAUUAACGUAUUACGUAACAGGAUGAACAAGAUAAAAUAGAUUUCGAUAAUCUAACUACGGAUGAUGCAGAUACACAUUUCGAGAUGGUACUUUAACAAUUGAAAGUUUAGAUGGAAAUAAAUUAUAUUUAGAUUCAACGACUGAAUUUAGAAUGUAUACAAUUGUAUCACAUAGUGUCGUUGAAAAUUUUGAAUCGGAUGUGAUCGUUCCUUAUUAGAGGAGAAUAUGAUAUCUAUCUAAUAUAUUUUUAUAUGUUUAAUAUAUAUUCAAUGAUAGGCAAUGACAGAGUGAAAUUAGAUAGAAGUUUGAAAAUGAUAUGAUAAACAAUACGUAAUUGAACAAAUGAGUGAUAAAAAAAAAUUGAAGAUAAAUUUAUAAGCGAAAAUAUAUAUAAAUCUGAUGAUAUCUUCGUUAACAAUAUUCCUGUGUAUUUAGAAACAUUGAAAAAAAAGAAAAAAAAAAGAAGGAAGUGCAAUAUAGUACUAGCAAUUUGAAAAAUAAUUUGAUAAGGAAGAGGUAAAAGAGAACAAAGCUGAAAGAACUGAUUGAAACGAAUAUAUAUGUACAUACAAGUAUAAAUAUAUAUACGUAUAUAUAUAAACGGGUAAUAUACAGUAAAUUGUCAUGUUUCACUUUAAACAAAAUAAUAUAAAUUAUUGGAUUAUCUAAAAAAUUAUAUUGAACACUUA